GACGAACGCUGGCGGCGUGCCUAACACAUGCAAGUCGAGCGAACCCUUCGGGGUGAGCGGCGGACGGGUGAGUAACGCGUGGGUAACCUGCCCUAUACACACGGAUAACGUACCGAAAGGUACGCUAAUACGGGAUAAAGUUGUUGGAUGGCAUCUUCUAACAAUCAAAGCUCCGGCGGUAUAGGAUGGACCCGCGUCUGAUUAGCUAGUUGGUGAGGUAAUGGCUUACCAAGGCGACGAUCAGUAGCCGACCUGAGAGGGUGAUCGGCCACACUGGAACUGAGAAACGGUGCAGACUCCUACGGGAGGCAGCAGUGGGGAAUAUUGCACAAUGGGCGAAAGCCUGAUGCAGCAACGCCGCGGGAGCGAUGAAGGGCUUCGGAUCGUAAAGCUCUGUCCUCAAGGAAGAUAAUGACGGUACUUGAGGAGGAAGCCCCGGCUAACUACGUGCCAGCAGCCGCCGUAA
rnacentral:rRNA from 1 species